rnacentral:rRNA from 1 species
GUAGGUGGCAAGCGUUGUCCGGAAUUAUUGGGCGUAAAGCGCGCGCAGGCGGUUCUUUAAGUCUGAUGUGAAAGCCCACGGCUCAACCGUGGAGGGUCAUUGGAAACUGGAGAACUUGAGUACAGAAGAGGAAAGCGGAAUUCCACGUGUAGCGGUGAAAUGCGUAGAGAUGUGGAGGAACACCAGUGGCGAAGGCGGCUUUCUGGUCUGUAACUGACGCUGAGGCGCGAAAGCGUGGGGGAGCAAACAGGAUUAGAUACCCUGGUAGUCCACGCCGUAAACGAUGAGUGCUAAGUGUUAGGGGGUUUUCCGCCCCCUUAGUGCUGCAGCUAACGCAUUAAGCACUCCGCCUGGGAGUACGGCCGCAAGGCUG